UACAGGGGGUGCAAACGUUGCUCGGAAUCAUUGGGCGUAAAGCGCACGUAGGCGGUUCGUUAUGUCGGAUGUGAAAGCCCUUGGCUUAACCGAGGAAGUGCAUCCGAAACUGGCGAGCUAGAGUACGAAAGAGGAUCGCGGAAUUCCCGGUGUAGAGGUGAAAUUCGUAGAUAUCGGGAGGAACACCGGUGGCGAAGGCGGCGAUCUGGGUCGAUACUGACGCUGAGGUGUGAAAGCGUGGGGAGCAAACAGG
rnacentral:rRNA from 1 species